rnacentral:tRNA from 1 species
GAGAGAGGCCUGCAGGCAACGAAGACUGCUAAUCCUCGUCCCGUCGGUUGAAGUCGGAAGCUCACUCA